GCCGGUGUGAGUAGCGAAAGACGGGUGAGAAUCCCGUCCACCGAUUGACUAAGGUUUCCAGAGGAAGGCUCGUCCGCUCUGGGUUAGUCGGGUCCUAAGCUGAGGCCGACAGGCGUAGGCGAUGGAUAACAGGUUGAUAUUCCUGUACCACCUAUAAUCGUUUUAAUCGAUGGGGGGACGCAGUAGGAUAGGCGAAGCGUGCGAUUGGAUUGCACGUCUAAGCAGUAAGGCUGAGUAUUAGGCAAAUCCGGUACUCGUUAAGGCUGAGC
rnacentral:rRNA from 1 species